GACAGAGGUGCCAAGCGUUAGGCGGAAUCACUGGGCUUAAAGCGUGUGUAGGCGGAAUUGUAAGUACCUUGUGAAAUCCCACGGCUCAACCGUGGAACUGCUCGGUAUACUGCUUUUCUUGAGCCACUUAGGGGCUGUCGGAACAAACGGUGGAGCGGUGAAAUGCGUAGAUAUCAAGCGGAACACCGGUGGCGAAGGCGGCCUUCUGGACAGUGACUGACGCUGAGACGCGAAAGCGUGGGGAGCAAACAGG
rnacentral:rRNA from 1 species